CCUACGGGUGGCAGCAGUGAGGAAUAUUGGUCAAUGGACGAGAGUCUGAACCAGCCAAGUAGCGUGAAGGAUGACUGCCCUAUGGGUUGUAAACUUCUUUUAUAUGGGAAUAAAAUGUUCCACGUGUGGGAUUUUGUAUGUACCAUAUGAAUAAGGAUCGGCUAACUCCGUGCCAGCAGCCGCGGUAAUACGGAGGAUCCGAGCGUUAUCCGGAUUUAUUGGGUUUAAAGGGAGAGUAGGUGGAUUGUUAAGUCAGUUGUGAAAGUUUGCGGCUCAACCGUAAAAUUGCAGUUGAAACUGGCAGUCUUGAGUACAGUAGAGGUGGGCGGAAUUCGUGGUGUAGCGGUGAAAUGCUUAGAUAUCACGAAGAACUCCGAUUGCGAAGGCAGUUCACUGGACUGUAACUGACACUGAGGCUCGAAAGUGUGGGUAUCAAACAGGAUUAGAUACCCUAGUAGUC
rnacentral:rRNA from 1 species